rnacentral:rRNA from 1 species
GAGUUUGAUCGUGGCUCAGAUUGAACGCUGGCGGCAGGCCUAACACAUGCAAGUCGAGCGGUAGAGAGAAGCUUGCUUCUCUUGAGAGCGGCGGACGGGUGAGUAAUGCCUAGGAAUCUGCCUGGUAGUGGGGGAUAACGCUCGGAAACGGACGCUAAUACCGCAUACGUCCUACGGGAGAAAGCAGGGGACCUUCGGGCCUUGCGCUAUCAGAUGAGCCUAGGUCGGAUUAGCUAGUUGGUGAGGUAAUGGCUCACCAAGGCGACGAUCCGUAACUGGUCUGAGAGGAUGAUCAGUCACACUGGAACUGAGACACGGUCCAGACUCCUACGGGAGGCAGCAGUGGGGGAGUAUUGGACAAUGGGCGAAAGCCUGAUCCAGCCAUGCCGCGUGUGUGAAGAAGGUCUUCGGAUUGUAAAGCACGUUUAAGUUGGGAGGAAGGGCAGUAAAUUAUACUUUGCUAUUUUGACGUUACGACAGAAUAAGCACCGGC